CAUAAUUUCAUCCAGUAGCGAGGUAUAGAGUUCCUACGUACCAAUUUUUUAAUGAAUUUGUAGGAACUUCAUACCGUGCUCUUGGAUUUGCUAGUU
rnacentral:pre_miRNA from 11 species